rnacentral:rRNA from 1 species
UACGAACCGUGCGAACGUUGUUCGGAAUCACUGGGCAUAAAGGGCGCGUAGGCGGCUUGUCAAGUCAGGGGUGAAAUCCGGCAGCUUAACUGUCGAAGUGCCUUUGAUACUGAUGAGCUCGAGGGAGGUAGGGGUAUGCGGAACUUCCGGUGGAGCGGUGAAAUGCGUUGAUAUCGGAAGGAACGCCGGUGGCGAAAGCGGCGUACUGGACCUCUUCUGACGCUGAGGCGCGAAAGCUAGGGGAGCAAACGGG